UCCGGUUUGAAACCGGCGGUCCCGCUAGACAUGGUAACUAACGGCGAGGGUUGCGCUCGUUGCGGGACUUAACCCAACACCUCACGGCGCGAGCUGACGACAGCCAUGCAGCAUCUGCGCACGCUCCCUUGCGGGUCCUUCCCCUUUCGGGGUCGUACCACGUGCAUGUCAAGCCCAGGUAAGGUUCUUCGCGUUGCGUCGAAUUAAACCACACGCUCCGCUGCUUGUGCGGGCCCCCGUCAAUUCCUUUGAGUUUUAACCUUGCGGCCGUACUCCCCAGGCGGUCAACUUUACGCGUUAGCUACGGUACCAAGGAAUCGCUUCCCCAACACCCAGUUGACAUCGUUUAGGGCGUGGACUAC
rnacentral:misc_RNA from 1 species